CGUCUGAUUAGCUAGUUGGUGAGGUAAAAGCUCACCAAGGCGACGAUCAGUAGCUGGAUCGAGAGGUUGACCAGCCACACUGGGACUGAGAUACGGCCCAGACUCCUACGGGAGGCAGCAGUGAGGAAUCUUCCACAAUGGGCGAAAGCCUGAUGGAGCAAUGCCGCGUGCAGGAUGACGGCCUUCGGGUUGUAAACUGCUUUUAUAUGGGAAGAUUAUGACGGUACCAUAUGAAUAAGGACCGGCUAACUACGUGCCAGCAGCCGCGGUAAUACGUAGGGUCCAAGCGUUAUCCGGAAUCACUGGGCGUAAAGCGUUUGUAGGCGGAAAUUUAAGUGAGAUGCGAAAUCUUGUGGCUCAACCAUAUAGACUGUGUCUCAUACUGGGUUUCUAGAAGAUAGCAGAGGCAAGUGGAAUUAGUAGUGUAGCGGUAAAAUGCGUAGAUAUUACUAGGAACACCAAUGGCGAAGGCAGCUUGCUGGGCUAUUCUUGACGCUGAGAAACGAAAGCGUGGGGAGCGAACAGGAUUAGAUACCCUGGUAGUCCACGCCGUAAACGAUGUGUGCUAUUAGUUCGAGGUAUCGACCCCUUGGGCUGAACAGCUAACGCGUUAAGCACACCGCCUGGGGAGUACGAGCGCAAGCUUAAAACUCAAAGGAAUUGACGGGGACCCGCACAAGCAGAGGAUGAUGUGGUUUAAUAUGAAGCUACGCGUAGAACCUUACCGAGGUUUGACAUCCCAGGAAGUCAGUCGAAAGACAGAUGUGCCUUUUGGAACCUGGUGACAGGUGCUGCAUGGCCGUCGUCAGCUCGUGUCGUGAGAUGUUGGGUUAAGUCCCGCAACGAGCGCAACCCUUAUCGUAUGUUGUACUUUUCAUACGAAACUGCCCGGGCCAACCGGGAGGAAGGUGGGGACGACGUCAGGUCGGCAUGGCCCUUACACCUCGGGCCACUCACGUCAUACAAUGGCCGGUACAAUGCGUCUUGCCAACCCGCGAGGGGGAGCUAAUCGCAUCAAAACCGGUCCCAGUUCGGAUAGCAGGCAGCAACUCGCCUGCUUGAAGUCGGAUUUGCUAGUAAACGUGGGUCAGCAUACCACGUUGAAUACGUUCCCGGGUCU
rnacentral:rRNA from 1 species